AAAUGAAUAGACGGGGGCCCGCACAAGCAGUGGAUCAUGUGGUUUAAUUCGACGCUACCCGAAAAACCUUACCAAAACUUGACAUCUACGGAAUCUCACGGAAGCGUGGGAGUGCCCGCAAGGGAGCCGUAAGACAGGUGGUGCAUGGUUGUCGUCAGCUCGUGUCGUGAGAUGUUAGGUUAAGUCCUGCAACGAGCGCAACCCUCGUACUGUGUUGCUACAUUUAGUUGAGCACUCUCAGUAGACUGCCCGUGGCAAACGGGAGGAAGGUGGGGAUGACGUCAAAUCAUCAUGCCCUUUAUGUUUUGGGCUACACACAUGAUACAAUGGUCGGUACAAAGGGAAGCGAAGCCGCAAGGUGAAGCUAAUCUCAUAAAGCCGGCCUCAGUUCAGAUCGCAGGCUGCAACUCGCCUGCGUGAAGUAGGAAUUGCUAGUAAACGCAGAUCAGCAUGCUGCGUUGAAUACGUUCCCGGGCCUUGUACACACCGCCCGU
rnacentral:rRNA from 1 species